rnacentral:rRNA from 1 species
AGUGAACGCUGGCGGUAGGCCUAACACAUGCAAGUCGAACGGCAGCACAGUAAGAGCUUGCUCUUACGGGUGGCGAGUGGCGGACGGGUGAGGAAUACAUCGGAAUCUACUUUUUCGUGGGGGAUAACGUAGGGAAACUUACGCUAAUACCGCAUACGACCUACGGGUGAAAGCAGGGGAUCUUCGGACCUUGCGCGAUUGAAUGAGCCGAUGUCGGAUUAGCUAGUUGGCGGGGUAAAGGCCCACCAAGGCGACGAUCCGUAGCUGGUCUGAGAGGAUGAUCAGUCACACUGGAACUGAGACACGGUCCAGACUCCUACGGGAGGCAGCAGUGGGGAAUAUUGGACAAUGGGCGAAAGCCUGAUCCAGCCAUACCGCGUGGGUGAAGAAGGCCUUCGGGUUGUAAAGCACUUUUGUUGGGAAAGAAAAGCAGCAGGUUAAUACCCCGCUGUUCUGACGGUACCCAAAGAAUAAGCACCGGCUAACUUCGUG